AGUGAACGCUGGCGGUAGGCCUAACACAUGCAAGUCGAACGGCAGCACAGUAAGAGCUUGCUCUUACGGGUGGCGAGUGGCGGACGGGUGAGGAAUACAUCGGAAUCUACUUUUUCGUGGGGUAUAACGUAGGGAAACUUACGCUAAUACCUCAUACGACCUACGGGUGAAAGCAGGGGAUCUUCGGACCUUGCGCGAUUGAAUGAGCCGAUGUCGGAUUAGCUAGUUGGCGGGGUAAAGGCCCACCAAGGCGACGAUCCGUAGCUGGUCUGAGAGGGUGAGCAGGCACACUGGAAGUGAGACACGGUCCAGACUCCUACGGGAGGCAGCAGUGGGGAAUAUUGGACAAUGGGCGCAAGCCUGAUCCAGCCAUACCGCGUGGGUGAAGAGGGCCUUCGGGUUGUAAAGCCCUUUUGUUGGGAAAGAAAAGCAGCAGGUUAAUACCCCGUUGUUCUGACGGUACCCAAAGAAUAAGCACCGGCUAACUUCGUG
rnacentral:rRNA from 1 species